UACGGGGGGAGCAAGCGUUGUUCGGAUUUACUGGGCGUAAAGGGCGCGUAGGCGGCCACCGCAAGUCGACUGUGAAAUCUCCGGGCUUAACCCGGAAAGGUCAGCCGAUACUGCGGGGCUAGAGUGCAGAAGGGGCAACUGGAAUUCUCGGUGUAGCGGUGAAAUGCGUAGAUAUCGAGAGGAACACCUGCGGCGAAGGCGGGUUGCUGGGCUGACACUGACGCUGAGGCGCGAAAGCUAGGGGAGCGAACGGGAUUAGAAACCCAGUAGUCC
rnacentral:rRNA from 1 species